rnacentral:rRNA from 1 species
UACGAGAGGCCCAAACGUUAUUCGGAAUUACUGGGCUUAAAGAGUUCGUAGGCGGCGCAGAAAGUAGGGUGUGAAAGCCCUCGGCUCAACCGAGGAAUUGCGCUCUAAACUACUGUGCUUGAGGGACCUAGAGGUGAGCGGAACUGAUGGUGGAGCGGUGAAAUGCGUUGAUAUCAUCAGGAACACCGGGAGGCGAAGGCGGGCUUACUGGGGGUCUUCUGACGCUGAGGAACGGAAAGCGUGGGGAGCAAACAGG